UGCCAGACUCCUACGGGAGGCAGCAGUGGGGAAUAUUGCACAAUGGGGGGAACCCUGAUGCAGCGACGCCGCGUGGGUGAAGAAGUCAUUCGUGACGUAAAGCCCUAUCAGCAGGGAAGAAAAUGACGGUACCUGACUAAGAAGCCCCGGCUAACUACGUGCCAGCAGCCGCGGUAAUACGUAGGGGGCGAGCGUUGUCCGGAAUCACUGGGCGUAAAGGGCGCGUAGGCGGUAAUAUAAGUCAGAUGUGAAAGGUGGGGGCUCAACCCCUAGAGUGCAACUGAUACUGUAUAACUUGAGUGUGAGAGAGGGAAGCGGAAUUCCUAGUGUAGCGGUGAAAUGCGUAGAUAUUAGGAGGAACACCAGUGGCGAAGGCGGCUUUCUGGCUCAUAACUGACGCUGAGGCGCGAAAGCGUGGGGAGCAAACAGGAUUAGAUACCCCAGUAUC
rnacentral:rRNA from 1 species